AAAGACAGAGGCAGGCCGUAUGCACUCGCUCAACGUCGCUGGUAUCA
rnacentral:sRNA from 1 species